AUUGUUUGGUGGCGAUAGCGAAGAGGUCACACCCGUUCCCAUGCCGAACACGGAAGUUAAGCUCUUCAGCGCCGAUGGUAGUCGGGGGUUUCCCCCUGUGAGAGUAGGACGCCGCCAAGCUGU
rnacentral:rRNA from 1 species